UACGGGAAGAGCUGGAAGGUCAUUCUCACCCUUGUGAAAUAAUGAGCAUGCGAUUCGGUCAAGAGAGGCAGACAUGAUUACCGUAAGAACAAAUCAGAGAUGUCUCUCGGAAGAGAAACAAGCAUGCAGCGGCGGGUGAUAUAUCAUGUUUUUAGGGAUGUGCGAGCCUCUUUUGAGUCGGGUCCAACUACAACACAGCUUGAGAAUGACGUUCGCUUACACCCGGGGCUCCAACUGACAAACAGGUCAAUUAAUGGAUCCGUAGAUGACGAUAAUAGCAGACCGUGGAGGUUUGCCGUUAGGGGAAACCGGAGAAGACCGACCUAGAAAUAACAUUCUUUCUGAGCUCAAAACGGUUCGAUUUGGUGAACAUGGACACACACCUCUUUUGAGCUUUUCUGCUGCGUCGUUGGAUAACUAUAGCCAAAAGCUUGUGCCUAACCUCAUAACCCUUCCAUCAAAUGCUUAUCCUCAUGCUUAGUCAACUUUGAUCACAUUUAAUGUUCCACAUUUUAUCGUCAUUCCAUCACCCACUGUGAAUUUCUGAGACCUGACUUUGUGUUUAAGAUUCACUUUGUGACUUUAUUUCAAACCAGGAAAGGACCAACGCACGAAGAGAAUGCCAGCAUCAAAAACAUCUGACAAUGACCACAAAAGGUUGUCUAAGUCCUGAACCGAUGCAAAAUCAUCUCAUCCACCACUAAAGAAGAAGAAGACAAGCUGAAUAAAGACAAGCUUUUAGAUCAUACUGCAUACAGUAGGUUCACUGGGUUCGUCGAGGAGAGGAACGUGGCAAGCGGGCGUGGGUGCUCCAGCCCCCUUCCAGAUUUCCAGCCGGAGAGGUUAGCCGUCCCCAGAUAGAAACUGCUGGCCGGUCCACUCGCGAGAGGAAACGGUUGGAGAGAAAAACGACGGACGAAUCAGAGAGCGCUCUUUUCCUUUUCAUGUCUUAUUAAAAACAUGCCGCCCGUAAUCUCCCGCAUCCUGCUUACGAAGAAGCCUCAGCUUUGGCCUGGAAAACUUGCCGCCACCAGUGAGACCAGAGAACCGGUCUCCAAUUGUUUCCAGUGUUACAGACAUGAGAGACCAAAUGAGUAUCAGACGGUUGCUCUUCGGAGAAAGUCACCCGACGCACUUGCGUUUUUCUUGUUUUUCUCAACUCAGAUUGUUCCCACUCUUCUUCCAUGUGGCCAUCGUCACAAAGAUAGCACAGAUCCCGCAACUCUCCAUGUGGGAAACCAACCGACUUUACAGAAUUUGAAGUUGCUGUCGCCAAUGCAAUCUUUAAAUCCACACUGAAAUCGUAGAUGGUAUACCAGGUGGAUUUGUGCUUCCCGUGACUCAGCUAUCUUAUUGCGUUACAGUCUUUGUACACUCAUUAUUGUAUUGUACAGUAGUGUAACAGCACAUCUAUCUAUCUAUGCAUCUAUGCAUCUAUCUAUCCCUCUAUCCAUCCAACCAUCCAUCCACCCACCCCCUUCUCUCUCUGUAUAUAUACUGUAUGUAUAUAUACCUCCUUCUUCUUCUCCCUCUUUCUGUAACAACAUAGCCCAAAUACUGCAAAAUGUAGCCUGCCUCAUUCAUUAGAGCAAAAGAGCAGAAGGGAGUCUGGGAGCAAACUGCCAGCUAUGCAAAAGAUAUUGGGAAGGGGGGAAGGAAAGGCCCGGAAGAAAAAAUGAUCAUUGAAUUGCCUUUGGCUGGACAUACCUGUGGUUCCUACUUCCCUCACUCCUCACCUCCUUCCCUGUGCUGCUAAUGCCACUCUUCAGCUACGCAGGAGGACAAAAUGUGCUUCUACAGCCCAGUUAUGUUCGAGCACCUGCCUUUCCAUAUCUGGAUAAUGGGCCAUGGCACUGUGAUAAGAUAAGCCGAGAGGCAAGGGGUGGUUAGGAAGUAGUGUGGGACGAGAGUGGAGCACACCAGCGCGUCGAUGCUUCGUUAAAUCACCCACUACUGAGGGUGGGCUAUUACUGG